rnacentral:rRNA from 1 species
AGUGAACGCUGGCGGUAGGCCUAACACAUGCAAGUCGAACGGCGGCACAGUAAGAGCUUGCUCUUACGGGUGGCGAGUGGCGGACGGGUGAGGAAUACAUCGGAAUCUACUUUUUCGUGGGGGAUAACGUAGGGAAACUUACGCUAAUACCGCAUACGACCUACGGGUGAAAGCAGGGGAUCUUCGGACCUUGCGCGAUUGAAUGAGCCGAUGUCGGAUUAGCUAGUUGGCGGGGUACAGGCCCACCAAGGCGACGAUCCGUAGCUGGUCUGAGAGGAUGAUCAGCCACACUGGAACUGAGACACGGUCCAGACUCCUACGGGAGGCAGCAGUGGGGAAUAUUGGACAAUGGGCGCAAGCCUGAUCCAGCCAUACCGCGUGGGUGAAGAAGGCCUUCGGGUUGUAAAGCCCUUUUGUUGGGAAAGAAAAGCAGCAGGUUAAUACCCCGCUGUUCUGACGGUACCCAAAGAAUAAGCACCGGCUAACUUCGUG